GUCAGGGGCGCGGGCCGGGAGACUUUCUUUGUGAAACUCCGUCGGUGCUAAGCGGGCCGGGCCUCCGCCGCGGACGAGCGCCUGCGAGGCGGGACCCUCCCCUUCGUCCUGGUUCCAGCCCCGCCUCGCGCUGCUCGGCUACUGGACCUGGUCUGCCGCCUGCCUGCCCCAGGUUCCGCGGGAGUUGCGUGUGUGCGCGCGCGCGGGGUGUGUUUGUUGGGGGGGUCGGGGGCGGUGUACAGUCGGCGCCCGGCGCCUCUCCUUUGCUUCUGUCCCCGCGGGGUGGCAGCUGCCCCCCAUCAGGGGCCCGCGUCCAGGUAGACGGCAGCCACUGGGAGACAGGUGUCGGUGUAACCCGAGGUGGCUCAGGUGCAGACAGCCUCAGGUGGAAUCUCGGGGAGUAAGCUGCCCGUCUCGGAAGGAAGCAAGUCUGUUGGAAGACAAGGCUUUAGAAGUGGAGACUGCAUCUGAAGAAGAAACAUAGAAAAAUUAGGGCUCCAGAAGUGUGUUGCCAGGAUGGAUGUUCUCAGGAGAGAGUCUUGAAAUAUUCCAUGUGUGGGAAAAUGACUUUCCAUAUAGAUGCAAAUCCAGAUAUAAACUUGAAAAAGGAUGUGAAGAAGUUAUGUUCAACAAGUACUGCAUUUCAAAGGCUGCCUUAAAUUUAGAGAGAGUUGUGUAUCAUGUUGUAGCAUAUGCAGUGGUCAAAAUCAUGUGAUCUACACCUUAUUGUGCCACCUGUAAAGGAAGAACGCUACCAUUGCCUACUUCACAGGGUUGUUGUGAGGAUUAAAUGAAUUAACACAUAUAUGUUCUUUAAAACAGUUCCAGGCAUGUAGGAAGUGCUAAAUAAAUGUUUGGUGUGGUU